GACGAACGCUGGCGGCGUGCUUAACACAUGCAAGUCGAACGGAAAGGCCCUGCUUUUGUGGGGUGCUCGAGUGGCGAACGGGUGAGUAACACGUGAGUAGCCUGCCCUUGACUUUGGGAUAACUUCAGGAAACUGGGGCUCAUACCGGAUAGGAGCUCCUGCUGCAUGGUGGUGGUUGGAAAGUUUCGGCGGUUGGGGAUGGACUCGCGGCUUAUCCGCUUGUUGGUGGGGUAGUGGCUUUCCAAGGCUUUGACGGGUAGCCGGCCUGAGAGGGUGACCGGCCACAUGGGGACUGAGGUACGGACCAGACGGCUACGGGAGGCAGCAGUGGGGAAUAUUGCGCAAUGGGCGGAAGCCUGAUGCAGAAACGCCGCGUGCGGGAUGACGGCCUUCGGGGUGUAAACCGCUUUCGCCUGUGACGAAGCGGGAGUGACGGUAAUGGGUAAAGAAGCACCGGCUAACUACGUG
rnacentral:rRNA from 1 species